UCGACUGCUGUGAAUCGAAUGUUUGAGUAGUGUGCGUUUUUUUGUUUUAUUCAAAUUCAAAUUGGGGAGGUUUUGUGGUGUAGUAGUAUGCGCGAAUUGUAUUUUCAUUUAAAAUUUCGUUGUGUGUACGUGAAAACAGUUGAUCAAUACAACGCGUUACGACGGACGCGGGUAUCCACUAGCUAUUUUGCGUGUUGUAUGAAUACUUUUUCUCUAUAUAGACCGAAACUAUUUUAUUAAAGCGUGCCUUGGUUAUUUUAUUUCUUUUUUGUUUUGAUUUUAUUUUAAACAGAAAAAAGGCGAAUGAAAGAAGAAAUUACUCUUACGUAUGAGUUUAUGGAAGUUUCGGCAUUUGUUUUUGCAAAGUUCUAUAAGUGAAUAAUGAAAAAAAUCGUGAAAAUACAUGAAAUGCUAAAAGUAUGUGUUAAGGAAAAUUCUAAUGAUCGAUUUGUGCAUAUUAAAGAGUGCUAGUGAGUGUCAGUCAGCUUGUCUAAAAGUGAAAAACUAAAAGCCAUAAAACAAACAUUUUUCUGUUAUAAAACAGACGUUUAAAAUUGUAGUUUCACUUGAAUUCUGAUAAAAAAAGAAACACGCGCAGUCCAUGCUUGAAAUAUUAAAGAACUGAAAUAUUAUUAAACAAAAAGCAACAAAACGUCUGUAUUGGAGGCACGAGCAACGCAACAUAAACCAGUAGCCUAAAGUGGCAUUUAAAAGUGUUUGGGAAAUUCAGUGCUGAACAGUGGAGCAGAAGGUGUUUGAAAAACUAUUGGGUCAUUGUUCUUCAUGGAUUUGUUUUUAUUUUAUUUUUCUUUCUUUUAAAAUUUAACAAAACAAAAGAAAAACAAAAAUAAUAAUUUCAACGACGACUACUUCUUCUAUAUUAAACAAAAACAACUUUUGGCUGAAUAUACAUAUUUUUGGUGUGUGAGUACGAAAAAUAAAAAUAAUAACAAAAACACACACGUAACUGAAAAAAAUAUUUAAUAUUAAAACCAAAACAUUACGUUUCCGCCGGAUAUACAAAUACUGUUUUUGGGGAAGAAGCAAUAAUACACACACAUACGCUCCCAAGUAUUUACAACACACCAAGAGAUUUAAAUUCAAAAUUUCUUGUGUCGUAUUUUUUUCAAUACAACAAGUGCACAACACUGCCAAAAAUAAUAAAAAUAAACUACGAAUUAAAAAAUAAAGAAAAAAAAACUAAAAACUUUAUGAUUAUUAUGGUCUUGUAUGUGUGAAAUAAAAUUAAAAUUUGUUUUUCUUGUGUAAAAGUUCAACAUCAUCAUUAUCAUCACAUUGUAAUCGCAAUCGAUCGUCUUCUAAAGGUUGUUGGCCAUUUAAGGAAGUGUUUUGAAUUACGAGUACAACAACGUAGCAAUUUGUUUACAUUCAAUAUUCAAAUUUUACAAGUCCAAAAUCGAGGAAAAAACUAUUUUGGAAGAACAAAAUUUUGCUUAUUUUGAAAAAUUUACAUUUUACACAAAUUUUGAAUAUACAACAUGUCUGU